rnacentral:rRNA from 1 species
AUACGGAGGGUGCAAGCGUUGUUCGGAAUCACUGGGCGUAAAGGGCGCGCAGGCGGUUUGGUAAGUCAGAUGUGAAAGCCCUCGGUUCAACCGUGGAAGUGCAUUUGAAACUGUCAGACUUGAGUACUAGAGGGGAAAGUGGAAUUCCCGGUGUAGAGGUGAAAGUCGUAGAUAUCGGGAGGAAUACCGGUGGCGAAGGCGACUUUCUGGCUAGAUACUGACGCUGAGGCGCGAAAGCGUGGGGAGCAAACAGUAGUAGAAACCCCGGUAGUCC